GUCGUCCGCGACGGAGUAGGCGUCGAGCGAAGCAUGUUAGACGUGCUUCGUAAGAGGGAACCCGGUGAGAGUCCGGGACUGUCCCGCAGCGGUAUGCAGGAACGACCGCCGUCAAUAGCACUGAUCUCGCGAUCGGGAAGCGACGGCCAUUAGGAGCACCACCAGGUGCGCGCCUGUGAGUCCGAAGACCUGCCGACCGUGCCGGGCGCGC
rnacentral:ncRNA from 2 species